AUGGCGGCGCUCCUGGAUGAGCUCGUCGAGGAGAUCCUCCUCUGCCUCCCGCUCGAUGACCCCGCCUGCCUCCUCCGGUCCUCCCUCAUCUCCAAGGCCCGGAGCGGCAGCGUCUCCGGCCCCGGCUUCCACCGCCGCCUCCACGAGCUCCACGGCGCACCCCCCGUGUUCGGCCUCCUCCACGACCAGGCCAGCGACCGCGCCCCCUGCUUCAUCCCCACCACCGCCUCGCCCUUCUCCCUCGCCGUCCCAGACAAUGGAUUAACAAUAUCAUCAUUCCAUAGAAGAACGUUUAUUCAAUGCUGUUCUGCUAAUAAUUAUUUUUAA
rnacentral:rRNA from 1 species